rnacentral:rRNA from 1 species
UACGUAGGGUGCAAGCGUUAUCCGGAAUUAUUGGGCGUAAAGAGCUCGUAGGCGGUUUGUCGCGUCUGCUGUGAAAACUGGAGGCUCAACCUCCAGCCUGCAGUGGGUACGGGCAAACUAGAGUGCGGUAGGGGGAGAUUGGAAUUCCUGGUGUAGCGGUGGAAUGCGCAGAUAUCAGGAGGAACACCGAUGGCGAAGGCAGAUCUCUGGGCCGUAACUGACGCUGAGGAGCGAAAGCAUGGGGGAGCGAACAGG